GACGAACGCUGGCGGCGUGCUUAACACAUGCAAGUCGAACGGAAAGGCCCUUUCGGCGGUACUCGAGUGGCGCAAGGGGGUGUAACACGCGGGUGAACUGCCCUGCACUCUGGGGUAAGCGUGGGAAACUGGGGCUAAUACAGGGUAGGAGCGCACCUACGUGAGGGUGGGGGUAAGUUGUUAGGUGUAGGAUGGGUCCGCGGCCUUUCUGUCUGUUGGUUGGGUAAUGGACUACCAAGGCGGCGACGGGUAGCCGGGCGGGGGAGGGGGACGGCCACAUUGGGGCUGGAGAACGGGCCAGACUCCUACGGGGGGCAACAGGGGGGAAAAUUGCACAAUGGGGGGAAGCCUGAUGCAGCGACGGCGGGUGGGGGAUGACGGGCUUCGGGUUGUAAAAUCCUUUCGCCAGGGGAGAAGCGGAUUGUGACGGUACCUGGAGAAGAAGCACCGGCUAACUACGUG
rnacentral:rRNA from 1 species